AGAGUUUGAUCAUGGCUCAGGAUAAACGCUGGCGGCGCACAUAAGACAUGCAAGUCGAACGGACUUAACCAUUAGUUUACUAUUGGAGCGGUUAGUGGCGGACUGGUGAGUAACACGUAAGCAACCUGCCUGUUAGAGGGGAACAACAGUUAGAAAUGACUGCUAAUACCGCAUAUACCUAAGCAACGCAUGUUGCAAUAGGGAAAGGAGAAAUCCGCUGAUAGAUGGGCUUGCGUCUGAUUAGCUAGUAGGUGGGGUAAAGGCUUACCUAGGCGACGAUCAGUAGCCGG
rnacentral:rRNA from 1 species